UACGGAGGGGGCGAGCGUUAUUCGGAAUUAUUGGGCGUAAAGGGCGCGUAGGCGGCUCGAUAAGUCAAAGGUGAAAUCCCUCGGCUCAACUGAGGAACUGCCUUUGAUACUGUAGAGCUUGAGUCCGGGAGGGGGUAGCGGAAUUCCCAGUGUAGCGGUGAAAUGCGUAGAUAUUGGGAGGAACACCAGUGGCGAAGGCGGCGCUCUGGAACGUACCUGACGCUGAGACACGAAAGCGUGGGGAGCAAACAGG
rnacentral:rRNA from 1 species